UUUGUAUUUAUUUUCAGAGGAAAGGUCGCCCCCCUGGUGCAGUUGUACAGUACGACAGACCAGCCCAGUACAGCACUGCAGCAAAACCCAAAGUGUCCGAGCCAAUAAGGCGGGAAGGACCUAAGUGGGACCCAUCCAGACUGACGGAGAACAGCACAUUCGUUCUGGGAUCCAGGGCAAAUAAGUAAGUGGAUAGAGGUUUGCUCAAACUAUAUUAUAUUAUAUAUUUCACAAUAGCUGACAAGAACAGGCCCUCUUAAACAACAUUUGGUUGUAUAUACGUUCAACAAGUGAAUAGUUCAUUAACCGAUAAACGCCACU